CCUACGGGAGGCUGCAGUGAGGAAUAUUGGUCAAUGGACGAGAGUCUGAACCAGCCAAGUAGCGUGAAGGAUGACUGCCCUAUGGGUUGUAAACUUCUUUUAUAUGGGAAUAAAAUGUUCCACGUGUGGGAUUUUGUAUGUACCAUAUGAAUAAGGAUCGGCUAACUCCGUGCCAGCAGCCGCGGUAAUACGGAGGAUCCGAGCGUUAUCCGGAUUUAUUGGGUUUAAAGGGAGCGUAGGUGGAUUGUUAAGUCAGUUGUGAAAGUUUGCGGCUCAACCGUAAAAUUGCAGUUGAAACUGGCAGUCUUGAGUACAGUAGAGGUGGGCGGAACUCGUGGUGUAGCGGUGAAAUGCUUAGAUAUCACGAAGAACUCCGAUUGCGAAGGCAGUUCACUGGACUGCAACUGACACUGAGGCUCGAAAGUGUGGGUAUCAAACAGGAUUAGAUACCCGAGUAGUC
rnacentral:rRNA from 1 species